rnacentral:rRNA from 1 species
CUUGCUGGGGGUGGAUGAGUGGCGAACGGGUGAGUAACACGUGAGUAACCUGCCCCGAACUCUGGGAUAAGCGCUGGAAACGGCGUCUAAUACUGGAUAUGUCCUAUCACCGCAUGGUGUGUAGGUGGAAAGAAUUUUGGUUCGGGAUGGACUCGCGGCCUAUCAGCUAGAUGGUGAGGUAAUGGCUCACCAUGGCGACGACGGGUAGCCGGCCUGAGAGGGUGACCGGCCACACUGGGACUGAGACACGGCCCAGACUCCUACGGGAGGCAGCAGUGGGGAAUAUUGCACAAUGGGCGCAAGCCUGAUGCAGCAACGCCGCGUGAGGGAUGACGGCCUUCGGGUUGUAAACCUCUUUUAGUAGGGAAGAAGCGAAAGUGACGGUACCUGCAGAAAAAGCACCGGCUAACUACGUGCCAGCAGCCGCGGUAAUACGUAGGGUGCAAGCGUUGUCCGGAAUUAUUGGGCGUAAAGAGCUCGUAGGCGGCUUGUCGCGUCUGCUGUGAAAACCAGAGGCUCAACCUCUGGCCUGCAGUGGGUACGGGCAAGCUAGAGUGCGGUAGGGGAGAUUGGAAUUCCUGGUGUAGCGGUGGAAUGCGCAGAUAUCAGGAGGAACACCGAUGGCGAAGGCAGAUCUCUGGGCCGUAACUGACGCUGAGGAGCGAAAGCAUGGGGAGCGAACAGGAUUAGAUACCCUGGUAGUCCAUGCCGUAAACGUUGGGAACUAGAUGUAGGGCCUGUUCCACGGGUUCUGUGUCGUAGCUAACGCAUUAAGUUCCCCGCCUGGGGAGUACGGCCGCAAGGCUAAAACUCAAAGGAAUUGACGGGGGCCCGCACAAGCGGCGGAGCAUGCGGAUUAAUUCGAUGCAACGCGAAGAACCUUACCAAGGCUUGACAUAUACGAGAACACUGUAGAGAUACAGGACUCUUUGGACACUCGUAAACAGUGGUGCAUGGGUUGUCGUCAGCUCGUGUCGUGA